rnacentral:rRNA from 1 species
AUUGAACGCUAGCGGGAUGCUUUACACAUGCAAGUCGAACAGUCGCGGACUUGUGAGUUAUUUAUCGGAACGUGCCCAGUCGCCGCGGAUCACUACUCGAACGCUUGGCUAAUCCCGCAUACUAUUCUAUCGGCCUAUAUCUGAUUAGCUAGUUGGUGGGGUAAAGGCUCACCAAGGCAACGAGCCGUAGCGGGUUUGAGAGGACGACCAGCCACACUGGGACUGAGACACGGCCCAGACUCCUACGGGAGGCAGCAGUGGGGAAUUUUGGACAAUGGGGGAAACCCUGAUCCAGCCAUCCCGCGUGUAUGAGAAGGCCUUCGGGUUGUAAAGUACUUUUGGCAGAGAAGCGGUAUCUAAAGAAAAAGCACCGGCUAACUACGUGCCAGCAGCCGCGGUAAUUG